UCACUGUGUAGCUUAUGAAUUCACUAUUGGC
rnacentral:piRNA from 1 species